rnacentral:tRNA from 1 species
UAUUUAGUAGUUAAAUUAAUAACAUUAAAUUGCAAAUUUAAAAUUAAAUUUAUAUUUCUAAAUUU